GUUUUUCUAAGCAAGGAGAUAUUGAUUUGAGGAAAGGCGCUCACAGUAGGAUAUUGUGGAUACAAUCCAUGAAUAUGUCGGAGGAGUUAUUAUUCGUUGGUGACAUGUGCUGUUAGAUAAAAGACAUGUUUUCAACCUUAGCAGAGAGAGUUCAGUUGAUUCCAAUACUUGCUUACAGAAGACAUCCAGUUGUUUUUUUUUCAAUAUAUUUUUGUGCUUCGUCCGAUUUUGACGUUCUAGCCUGCCAGAGCCUGUCAGUCAGGGCUAGACUGUUGGAGGCCGAGUGGCCAUGGCCCAUCGGCCGACAGCUUCUGUUCGGCCCUCAAUAGCCCCACUAUCGGCGGUGACUCCUGCUCUUCCUGCAGGAAUUACAGAGGGAGCAACUGGAAGUACACAACUUGACAGUGUACGCAAAUCCAAAGAGAAUGACACGCUCGCCGCGCCAUCUGGAGGGACGUGGGAUUUGAUUGCGUCACUGAAGUUCUUCUCGGUUCAAGUUGGGCCAGUUGAUCCAGGCGGGCCGUCGACAACUCCGUUGUUGAGGCUAUGGCCACAACGGCAACAGCAAACAGCAGCCUUCCGAAAACGGUUGUGCCCAAUUGGAGCAAACCGACUCUCCGACUUUGGACAUGCCGAAAUUGAUCGCACAACAUGGACGGAGGGUUGGAGCCAAGAAAGAAGCGUCGCGGGAGGAAUGCCAUAAACCCCGGGAGAAAACCAUCCGCUCCCAACUGAAGGCUAGUCUCCGUGGAUCCUUUCAACGUUCAACAUCUCAGGAAUGGGCGGCUUUCGUUCAUCUGACUCUUAUGCAACCAAUUGACGACCAAUGAGGAAAAUGAGCUUGCCACCAAUGGUCUUUAAAAGAUCAGCAGAUAAAAAAAAUGAGAUCCAUCUAAUCGAUGCGAAACCCUCCGCAUAACCAAAUGAUUACGCUCAACAUUGAUCUCCAAUUGACAAGAAAAAAAAAUGUCUUUUGGAACAAUAAAUACAAAAAGAACAUCUUUGAA